rnacentral:tRNA from 1 species
GGGUCCAUAAGUCAAUGGUAGACGAACGCACUUUUAAUGCGUAGAUCCGUGUUCGAAUCACGGUGGACCCACCA